UCGGGGAAACUCGGGCUAAUACCGGAUACGAUCGACUCGGGCAUCCGAUGUCGGUGGAAAGUUUUUCGGCGAGGGAUGGGCCCGCGGCCUAUCAGCUUGUUGGUGGGGUGAAGGCCUACCAAGGCGACGACGGGUAGCCGGCCUGAGAGGGCGACCGGCCACACUGGGACUGAGACACGGCCCAGACUCCUACGGGAGGCAGCAGUGGGGAAUAUUGCGCAAUGGGCGAAAGCCUGACGCAGCGACGCCGCGUGAGGGAUGACGGCCUUCGGGUUGUAAACCUCUUUCAGCAGGGACGAAUUCAGACGGUACCUGCAGAAGAAGCACCGGCCAACUACGUGCCAGCAGCCGCGGUAAUACGUAGGGUGCAAGCGUUGUCCGGAAUUAUUGGGCGUAAAGAGCUCGUAGGCGGUCUGUCGCGUCGGCUGUGAAAACUCGGGGCUCAACCCCGAGCCUGCAGUCGAUACGGGCAGACUAGAGUGCUGUAGGGGAGACUGGAAUUCCUGGUGUAGCGGUGAAAUGCGCAGAUAUCAGGAGGAACACCGGUGGCGAAGGCGGGUCUCUGGGCAGUAACUGACGCUGAGGAGCGAAAGUGUGGGGAGCGAACAGGAUUAGAUACCCUGGUAGUCCACGCCGUAAACGGUGGGUGCUAGGUGUGAGCGGUAUUCCACGCCGUUCGUGCCGCAGCUAACGCAUUAAGCACCCCGCCUGGGGAGUACGGCCGCAAGGCUAAAACUCAAAGGAAUUGACGGAAUCGA
rnacentral:rRNA from 1 species